rnacentral:rRNA from 1 species
UACGUAGGGUGCAAGCGUUGUCCGGAAUUAUUGGGCGUAAAGAGCUCGUAGGCGGUCUGUUGCGUCGGCUGUGAAAACCCGGGGCUCAACCCCGGGCCUGCAGUGGGUACGGGCAGACUAGAGUGCGGUAGGGGAGACUGGAAUUCCUGGUGUAGCGGUGAAAUGCGCAGAUAUCAGGAGGAACACCGGUGGCGAAGGCGGGUCUCUGGACAGUUCCUGACGCUGAGGCACGAAGGCCAGGGGAGCAAACAGG